rnacentral:rRNA from 1 species
CAAACCCGGGGAACUGAAACAUCUAAGUACCCGGAGGAAAAGAAAUCAACCGAGAUUCCCAAAGUAGCGGCGAGCGAAAUGGGAUUAGCCCUUAAGUUACAGUGGAUUUAGCAGAACGCUCUGGAAAGUGCGGCAAUAGAGGGUGAUAGCCCCGUAUGCGAAAGGUCCAUUGUAGUGAAAUCGAGUAGGUCGGGACACGUGAAAUCCUGACUGAACAUGGGGGGACCAUCCCCCAUG